UACGUAGGGGGCAAGCGUUGUCCGGAUUUAUUGGGCGUAAAGAGCGUGUAGGCGGCUUGGUAGGUCAGCUGUGAAAACUCGAGGCUCAACCUCGAGACGUCGGUUGAAACCACCUGGCUAGAGUCCGGAAGAGGAGAGUGGAAUUCCCGGUGUAGCGGUGAAAUGCGCAGAUAUCAGGAGGAACACCGAUAGCGAAGGCAGCUCGCUGGGACGGUACUGACGCUGAGGCGCGAAAGCGUGGGGAGCGAACAGG
rnacentral:rRNA from 1 species